CCCUUAGAUGUUCUGGGCCGCACACGCGCUACACUGAAGGAGGCAGCGUGUACUCCUGGAUCGAAAGAUUUGGGUAACCCGCGAAUCUCCUUCGUGCUAGGGAUUGAGGUUUGCAAUUAUCCUUCAUGAACGAGGAAUUCCCAGUAAGUGCAAGUCAUAAGCUUGCGCUGACUACGUCCCUGCCCUUUGUACACACCGCCCGUCGCUACUACCGAUUGAAUGAUUUAGUGAGGACUUCGGACUGGGACCGAUGCGGCUUUCGGGCUGCGUCGGUAUUCUGGAAAGAUGCCCAAACUGUAUCAUUUAGAGGAAGUAAAAGUCGUAACA
rnacentral:rRNA from 1 species